UACAGAGGUCCCAAGCGUUGUUCGGAUUCACUGGGCGUAAAGGGUGCGCAGGUGGUCGGGUAAGUCUGAUGUGAAAUCCCGCAGCUUAACUGCGGAAUGGCAUUGGAUACUAUUCGGCUAGAGGGUUGGAGGGGGGACUGGAAUUCUCGGUGUAGCAGUGAAAUGCGUAGAUAUCGAGAGGAACACCAGUGGCGAAGGCGGUUCUCUGGGCAUGAUCUGACGCUGAGGAGCGAAAGUGUGGGGAGCGAACAGG
rnacentral:rRNA from 1 species